UUGCCUCAGCAGCAUACAUACUAAAAUUGGAAUAAUAUGGAGAAGCAUAGCAUGACCCUUACACAAGGAUGACUUGAAAAAUUUGUCAGUUUCCU
ensembl:snRNA U6 U6 spliceosomal RNA